rnacentral:rRNA from 1 species
AUACGGAGGAUGCAGGCGUUAUCCGGAAUUACUGGGCGUAAAGCGCACGUAGGCGGAUUAAAAAGUUAGAGGUGAAAUCCCAGGGCUUAACCCUGGAACUGCCUUUAAAACUAGUAGUCUAGAGUUCGAGAGAGGUGAGUGGAAUUCCAAGUGUAGAGGUGAAAUUCGUAGAUAUUUGGAGGAACACCAGUGGCGAAGGCGGCUCACUGGCUCGAUACUGACGCUGAGGUGCGAAAGCGUGGGGAGCAAACAGGAUUAGAAACCCGAGUAGUCC